rnacentral:pre_miRNA from 1 species
UCUUAUGGAUGAGCAAAAAAAGUGGUUUCUUAAGACAGACUCUACUCCUGCUAAAGAUGCUAUGAA